CCUACGGGUGGCAGCAGUGAGGAAUAUUGGUCAAUGGACGAGAGUCUGACCCAGCCAAGUCGCGUGAAGGAUGAAUGCCCUAUGGUUUUUAAACUUCUUUUAUAAAGGAAUACAACGAGGCACGUGUGCCUUUUUGCAUUUACUUUAUGAAUAAGGAUCGGCUAACUCCGUGCCAGCAGCCGCGGUAAUACGGAGGAUCCGAGCGUUAUCCGGAUUUAUUUGGUUUAAAGGAAGCGUAGAUGGGUUGUUAAGUCAGUUGUGAAAGUUUGGGGCUCAACCGUAAAAUUGCAAUUGAUACUGGCAGUCUUGAGUACAGUUGAGGGAGGGGGAAUUCGAGGUGUAGCGGUGAAAUGCGUAGAUAUCAGGAAGAACACCGAUGGCGAAGGCAGCUUACUAAACUGUGACUGACAUUGAUGCGCGAAAGUGUGGGUAGCAAACAGGAUUAGAUACCCUAGUAGUC
rnacentral:rRNA from 1 species